AUUGAACGCUGGCGGCAUGCCUUACACAUGCAAGUCGAACGGUAACGGGCCUUCGAGUGCCGACGAGUGGCGAACGGGUGAGUAAUACAUCGGAACGUGCCCGAUCGUGGGGGAUAACGAGGCGAAAGCUUUGCUAAUACCGUAUACGAUCUACGGAUGAAAGCAGGGGACCGCAAGGCCUUGCGCGGACGGAGCGGCCGAUGGCAGAUUAGGUAGUUGGUGGGAUAAAAGCUUACCAAGCCGACGAUCUGUAGCUGGUCUGAGAGGAUGAUCAGCCACACUGGGACUGAGACACGGCCCAGACUCCUACGGGAGGCAGCAGUGGGGAAUUUUGGACAAUGGGCGCAAGCCUGAUCCAGCCAUGCCGCGUGAAGGAUGAAGGCCUUCGGGUUGUAAACUGCUUUUGUACGGAACGAAAAGCCUUCUUUUAAUACAGGAGGGUCAUGACGGUACCGUAAGAAUAAGCACCGGCUAACUACGUG
rnacentral:rRNA from 1 species